AACGAUGUCAAAGGGACUUUACCGAUCUUUCCCCCCCGAUCUAUAAAUAGGUCGGUAGAAUACAUGAUCAUCUGUCUUCGUUGUACUUGUGCAUAUUACCAAUAGAAUCCAAAAUGGAAGGCAGAUCCACUCAUCAAAAAGACUCGGAUAUCCAGUCCGAUCGAGGGACGGUACCGCCGUCCAGCAUUGAAGCAAGUCGUGCAGACUAUUCGUCGGGCCCAGACAGAGGGACAAGAGAACCAUCAAAUACAGGGAAUCCUCAUGCAGAUCCUAAACCCAAGCCACCCCCUCCUCCGAAUGUGCCUACAUAAUAUGUUAUAGUGCUGGUUGAUGCAUGCAUGUGUUGAAGCCAGAGAAAGAGCAUUUCAAGACAAAACUAAGAAAGAGUUGACGAUUGAGAAACUGAAAUCACGCCGUUUGUCAUAAAGUUGAGUUGUUAUUUUGCUGUUAAUAUCUAUUUUCAAUAAAUUAUCUAAGUAUG